AUUGAACGCUGGCGGAAUGCUUUACACAUGCAAGUCGAGCGGCAGCACGGGGGCAACCCUGGUGGCGAGCGGCGAACGGGUGAGUAAUACAUCGGAACAUGCCCAGUCGUGGGGGAUAACACUUCGAAAGAAGUGCUAAUACCGCAUACGUCCUGAGGGAGAAAGCGGGGGUUCGCAAGACCUCGCGCGAUUGGAGUGGCCGAUGUCAGAUUAGCUAGUUGGUGGGGUGAAGGCCUACCAAGGCAACGAGCUGUAGCUGGUCUGAGAGGAUGAUCAGCCACACUGGGACUGAGACACGGCCCAGACUCCUACGGGAGGCAGCAGUGGGGAAUUUUGGACGAUGGGGGCAACCCUGAUCCAGCCAUUCCGCGUGAGUGAAGAAGGCCUUCGGGUUGUAAAGCUCUUUCGGCAGGAACGAAACGGUGAGCUCCAACAUAGCUUGCUAAUGACGGUACCUGAAGAAGAAGCACCGGCUAACUACGUGCCAGCCGCCGCGGUAAAAC
rnacentral:rRNA from 1 species